GCCAGCGUGGCGGAAUUGGCAGACGCGCGAGACUCAAAAUCUCGUAUCCUCCGGGAUGUGCCGGUUCGACUCCGGCCGCUGGCA
rnacentral:tRNA from 1 species